rnacentral:rRNA from 1 species
UACGUAGGGUGCAAGCGUUGUCCAGAAUCAUUGGGCGUAAAGAGCGUGUAGGCGGCCAGAUAAGUCCGCUGUGAAAUCUCGAGGCUCAACUUCGAGCUGUCGGUGGAAACUGUCUGGCUAGAGUCCGGAAGAGGAGAAUGGAAUUCCUGGUGUAGCGGUGAAAUGCGCAGAUAUCAGGAAGAACACCCGUGGCGAAGGCGGUUCUCUGGGACGGUACUGACGCUGAGACGCGAAAGCGUGGGGAGCGAACAGG